rnacentral:rRNA from 1 species
UACGAAGGGAGCUAGCGUUGUUCGGAAUUACUGGGCGUAAAGCGCGCGUAGGUGGCCUGCCAAGUCAGGGGUGAAAUCCCAGAGCUUAACUCUGGAAUUGCCUUUGAAACUGGUAGGCUUGAGUAUCGGAGGGGAUGGUGGAAUUUCUAAUGUAGCGGUGAAAUGCGUAGAUAUUAGAAGGAACACCGGUGGCGAAGGCGACCAUCUGGACGAUAACUGACACUGAGGCGCGAAAGCGUGGGGAUCAAAC